GACGAACGCUGGCGGCGUGCUUAACACAUGCAAGUCGAGCGGUAAGGCCCCUUUUGGGGGGUACACGAGCGGCGAACGGGUGAGUAACACGUGGGUGACCUGCCUUCAGCUCUGGGAUAAGCCUGGGAAACUGGGUCUAAUACCGGAUAUGACCUUUGCCUGCAUGGGUGGGGGUGGAAAGAUUUGUUUUGGCUGGGGAUGGGCCUGCGGUCUAUCAGCUUGUUGGUGGGGUGAUGGCCUACCAAGGCGACGACGGGUAGCCGGCCUGAGAGGGCGACCGGCCACACUGGGACUGAGACACGGCCCAGACUCCUACGGGAGGCAGCAGUGGGGAAUCUUGCGCAAUGGGCGAAAGCCUGACGCAGCGACGCCGCGUGAGGGAUGACGGCCUGGUGUAACU
rnacentral:rRNA from 1 species